GUGCCAGCCGCCGCGGUGAUACGUAGGGUGCGAGCGUUGUCCGGAAUUAUUGGGCGUAAAGAGCUCGUAGGCGGUUGAUCGCGUCGAAAGUGAAACUCAGGGCUUAACCCUGAGCCUGCUUUCGAUACGAGUCGACUAGAGGAAGGUAGGGGAGAAUGGAAUUCCUGGUGGAGCGGUGGAAUGCGCAGAUAUCAGGAGGAACACCAGUGGCGAAGGCGGUUCUCUGGACCUUUCCUGACGCUGAGGAGCGAAAGCGUGGGGAGCAAACAGGCUUAGAUACCCUGGUAGUCCACGCCGUAAACGGUGGGUACUAGGUGUGGGGGACAUUCCACGUUCUCCGUGCCGUAGCUAACGCAUUAAGUACCCCGCCUGGGGAGUACGGCCGCAAGGCUAAAACUCAAAGGAAUUGACGGGGCCCCGCACAAGCGGCGAGCAUGCGGAUAAUUCGAUGCAACGCGAAGAACCUUACCUGGGUUUGACAUGUACCGGAAACAUCCAGAGAUGGAUGCCCCUUUAGGUCGUAAUACAGUGGU
rnacentral:rRNA from 1 species